GGGCCCGCACAAGCGGUGGAGUAUGUGGUUUAAUUCGAUGCAACGCGAAGAACCUUACCAGGGUUUGACAUCCUGCGAAUCUCUUGGAAACGAGAGAGUGCCUUCGGGAGCGCAGUGACAGGUGGUGCAUGGCUGUCGUCAGCUCGUGUCGUGAGAUGUUGGGUUAAGUCCCGCAACGAGCGCAACCCACGUCUUUAGUUGCCAGCAUUUAGUUGGGCACUCUAGAGAGACUGCCGGUGAUAAACCGGAGGAAGGUGUGGAUGACGUCAAGUCAUCAUGCCCCUUACAUCCUGGGCUACACACGUACUACAAUGCUACGGACAAAGGGCAGCAAACUCGCGAGAGCUAGCAAAUCCCAUAAACCGUGGCUCAGUUCAGAUCGUAGGCUGCAACUCGCCUACGUGAAGGAGGAAUCGCUAG
rnacentral:rRNA from 1 species